rnacentral:rRNA from 1 species
AGAGUUUGAUCCUGGCUCAGAAUAAACGCUGGUGGCAUGCUUUAUACAUGCAAGUCGAGCGAAGACUAGAUUUGUAGUAGAAAUGAUUAAUUUUCACUUUGUGGAGAUUAUGAGUUUUUGCUAUUCCUGGUCUUAGCGGCGAACGGGUGAGUAACGCGUGAAUAAUCUGCCCUUGAAAUUGGGAUACCAUUCCGAAAGGAAUGCUAAUACCGAAUAACGUUAUGAAACAUAGGUUUCAUAACCAAAGUUGAAUCUUUGGAUUCUUCGUUCAAGGAUGAGUUCGCGUCCUAUUAGCUAGUUGGUGAGGUAAAGGCUCACCAAGGCUAUGAUGGGUAGCCGGCCUGAGAGGGCGUACGGCCACAUUGGGACUGAGACACGGCCCAGACUCCUACGGGAGGCAGCAGUAGGGAAUCUUCCGCAAUGGGCGAAAGCCUGACGGAGCGAUGCCACGUGGAUGACGGAGGCCUUCGGGUCGUAAAAUCCUGUCAGGGGGGACGAUGGUCAAUUUUCGGAUUGAUUGACGGUACCUCCAGAGGAAGCUCCGGCCAACUACGUGCCAGCAGCCGCGGUAAUACGUAGGGAGCAAGCGUUGUUCGGAUUUACUGGGCGUAAAGAGUGCGUAGGUGGCUAUACAAGUCAAGGGUGAAAUCUCUACUUUCAAGGUAGAAACUGCCUUUGAUACUGUAUGGCUAGAGGACAAGAGGGGGAAAUGGAACUCUGGGAGUAGCGGUGAAAUGCGUAGAUAUCCAGAGGAACGCCAGUAGCGAAGGCGGUUUCCUGGCUUGUUUCUGACACUGAGGCACCAAAGCUAGGGGAGCGAUCGGGAUUAGAGACCCCGGUAGUCCUAGCCCUAAACGAUGGGUACUAGGUGUGGGGGGAGCAUUACCCUCUGUGCCGAAGCUAACGCGUUAAGUACCCCGCCUGGGGAGUACGGUCGCAAGACUGAAACUCAAAAGAAUUGACGGGGGGCUGAACAAGCAGUGGAGCACGUGGUUUAAUUCGACGCAAAGCGAAGAACCUUACCAGGACUUGACAUGCUAGUAGUAGUGAUCUGAAAGGUGAGCCAUCCAGGCUUCGGCUUGGAAGCUAGCACAGGUGGUGCAUGGUUGUCGUCAGCUCGUGCCGUGAGGUGUCGG